rnacentral:snoRNA from 1 species
AAUCCAUGGUGAGGGCAUCGUCUUAAGAGACCCUUGUAUCUCUCCCAUGCAACGUAGAGUGUCUCUAAAUCCAUCUGCACAAAAGAAUAGAUAUCAUUACGUAAUU